rnacentral:rRNA from 1 species
CCAUGCAUGCAUGAUCUCGCACACAGGCGCAGUGAAGAGGAAAGAGCUCAAAGUUGGAACCUGUUUGGCCUAUCUUAUCCGGAUUGUAGACUGUAGAAGUGUUUUCCAGGCAAGCCGAUUAAAUAAGUCCUUUGGAACAGGGCAUCAUAGAGGGUGAGAAUCCCGUCUUUGGCUUGAGCAUUUGCCUUUUGUGAUACG